GUGCCAGCCGCCGCGGUAAGACAGAGGGGGCAAGCGUUGCUCGGAAUCACUGGGCGUAAAGGGCGCGUAGGCGGGAUGGCAAGUCGGUCGUGAAAUCCCUCGGCUCAACUGAGGAGAGUCGGCCGAUACUGCUGUUCUUGAGGGAUGCAGAGGAGACUGGAAUUCCCGGUGUAGCGGUGAAAUGUGUAGAGAUCGGGAGGAACACCGGUGGCGAAGGCGGGUCUCUGGGCAUCUCCUGACGCUGAGGCGCGAAAGCGUGGGGAGCAAACGGGAUUAGAUACCCCCGUAGUCC
rnacentral:rRNA from 1 species